rnacentral:tRNA from 1 species
GGGUGGGUGGCUCAGUCGUUAGAGCCUAGGGCUCGUAAUCGAAAGGUUCCGAGUUCGACCCUCGCAAGAGGCA